GUGCUGAAGUGGGUCACGAAAGAGUGCUCAAGCUGUCCAAAGGAGUGAACACUUUCUGGACGAAGAUCGGAGCACCAGAUCCUGGUGGCUUUGCGAAGCGUGGCGGGGAAGCCGAUGCAAAGAAGGGCAUCGGUCGCCCCUUGGAUCGUCAUGAGAGCCUUGUAGCUCUCCAGAUGGUCUACUGGGUCAGUGGAGCCGUCAUAGGGCUCCACAUGGGGCAUCUUGAACCGACUAGAAAUUGACUCGUCAAGGAUGAGUCGGGAAAGAGAUU
rnacentral:lncRNA from 1 species